UACGUAGGGUGCAAGCGUUAUUCGGAAUUACUGGGCGUAAAGCGUGCGUAGGCGGCUUUGCAAGUCAGAUGUGAAAUCCCCGGGCUUAACCUGGGAACUGCAUUUGUGACUGCAUGGCUAGAGUGCGGCAGAGGGGGAUGGAAUUCCGCGUGUAGCAGUGAAAUGCGUAGAUAUGCGGAGGAACACCGAUGGCGAAGGCAAUCCCCUGGGCCUGCACUGACGCUCAUGCACGAAAGCGUGGGGAGCAAACAGG
rnacentral:rRNA from 1 species